AAAACUGGGGUUAAUUCCCGAUGGGUGAAGAGGCCUGGAAUGGUUCUUCACUGAAAAGGCGUUAGAGUCAUGCUCUCUAACGUUGCCCAAGGAUGGGGCCGCGGCCGAUCAGGUUGUUGGUGAGGUAACGGCCCACCAAGCCUAUAACCGGUACGGGCCGUGAGAGCGGGAGCCCGGAGAUGGGCACUGAGAUAAGGGCCCAGGCCCUACGGGGCGCAGCAGUUGCGAAAACUCGCCAAUGCACGAAAGUGUGAGCGGGCUAUCCCGAGUGCCGUCCGCUGAGGAUGGCUUUUCUCCGCUGUAAGGAGGCGGAGGAAUAAGGAGAGGGCAAGACUGGUGUCAGCCGCCGCGGUAAUACCAGCUCUCCGAGUGGUAGGGGUGAUUAUUGGGCUUAAAGCGUCCGUAGCCGGCCUGGCAAGUCUCCCGUUAAAUCCAGCAACCUAAUUGUUGGGCUGCGGGGGAUACUGUUAGGCUAGAGGGCGGGAGAGGCCGACGGUAUUCUCGGGGUAGGGGUGAAAUCUUAUAAUCCCGAGAGGACCACCAGUGGCGAAGGCUGUCGGCUAGCACGCGCCUGACGGUGAGGGACGAAAGCUGGGGGAGCGAACCGGAUUAGAUACCCGGGUAGUCCCUGCUGUAAACGAUGCGGGCUAGGUGUUGGAGCGGCCACGAGCCGCUUCAGUGCCGCAGCGAAAGCGUUAAGCCCGCCGCCUGGGGAGUACGGCCGCAAGGCUGAAACUUAA
rnacentral:rRNA from 1 species